AAAAAAAGUAAAGUAUGUGGACUUGCACCGAAUAGAGCCAUGGAUAUGUCAAACUGUUCAACUUUAAGGACUACAAAUUGUCAUACAUGUAUUGUCGUAGCGUUUUUGUUGUAAGGACUAAGAACGACCCAACUUUAAGGACUACAAAUGGUUAUUUUGCUCUACUUUAAACAUUGUGAACUUUUCAUUGAUGAAAUUUGCAUACCUUGGACA